UCCCGCGGUUGGGGGCAGAGGCAGCGGGGCGGGCCCCGGCCGAGCGGGCCCAGCUGCGCCAAGGGGGAUGCGGCGCGGGAUGGCGGUCGGCCUCCCGCUCCCGGCGCCCUGACAGGAUCGGGCCGGCGGCCCUCCCUUUUUCCCUUCUCCUCCUCCGCGGGGCUGGAGCCUCCCCUGGGCAGCGCCCCCAGCUCCUCCCCGCUCGGUAGCGCCGUGUCCGAGCCCCUCCUCCCGUUUCCGCUGGUAGGAGCUGGAUCCGUGUCCUGCUGUAGCCCCACGUUCGGCCCCAUCCGCCCCGGCCUGGCCCGGCCCGGCUCGGCUCGGCUUAGGGAGGCGCGGGACUUCUGGUUUGGAAGGCAGCCCGGACUCCUGACCUCCUUCUGCUGUGAACAGUGGAUUGGACAGAUUGCCUAUUUGUUAAGUACAGUUCCCCACUCAUGUAGACAACAUGGUGAAAGAUGCAAGUUUCUGAGGAACUUGCAGGAUGUCUGUUCCUUGCAUCAUCAUUUGUUACAACAACCUUGUACGUACCUGAGUCUUGUAGUGAGUCUUGGAGGGCAUGAACUGAGCUCUUCAGUUGCAUUUGCCUAUGAGUUUUUGUCUCACCAGUUCUGAUCUGUCAAAAGAUUCUUGUUUCUUUGAGUUUGUUAUCAACGUUUACCUUGGUCGACAGCAAGACCUUUUUCUUCUAACAGUUUCCUUGCAAGCGUUUGAUUUUCCUUUCUUAAUUUUACUGUAUGGACCUGUCUUACAUCAACCAGCAUAUCUGUGAUGUGGCGAGGACCACUACCUGGAACUGGAUUACAUGACUUGAAGGACUCUUCUUAGACUAUUUCUGCCUUUGCUGCAGAUUAUGCUGUGUUCAUAGCAGGCUUACAUCAGCGGUGAAUGAAGUUAAUCUUUAAAUGUAGUUGACAGUGUACUGCUAGUGGAGUCAGUUUGACUAAGUAGCCAACAUCUAUGCAGUGGAAUCAUGGGAAACUUGGAUUAUUUCAUUCUUGAAAUUAUUUUUAUAUUAAUCUUUACUAAGACACAUUUGACUUCAAUACGAUUAAUUCAGUUGCUGAAAUAGAGUUGCCUCUUGUGUCCCUAGCUCCCAGUUCCAAACCUAGGCAGCUGGUUUGGUUGGUUGCCUGCAUGUGCUUGACGUAGAGCCUGACAUCAGCAGUGAGCCUGGUGUUCGUAUAGUCUUAGUUCACUUC
rnacentral:lncRNA from 1 species